GGGCCCUUAGCUCAGCUGGCUAGAGCGCCACGAUGGCAUCGUGGAGGCCAUGGGUUCGAACCCCAUAGGGUCCACCA
rnacentral:tRNA from 1 species